rnacentral:misc_RNA from 1 species
CACGGAGAUGCUUUUGCAUCCGGCUGGUAUGGCGAGUGCCGCCGUCCACGUUUCUCUUUCUCANCAAGGAUACGAACCACGCCCGCUCACUUUAAGCGUCGAGCGACACUUAGGUGGUGCGUGCAACCGGAAUGGGCCCGUAGCUCAGGUGGUUAGAGCGCACGCCUGAUAAGCGUGNGG